UACGGAGGGUGCAAGCGUUAUCCGGAAUUACUGGGUUUAAAGGGUGCGUAGGCGGCGCUGUAAGUCAGGGGUGAAAGGUUCCGGCUCAACCGGAGAAUUGCCUUUGAUACUGCAGUGCUAGGAUUGGGUUGAGGUUGGCGGAAUGUGACAUGUAGCGGUGAAAUGCAUAGAUAUGUCAUAGAACACCGAUUGCGAAGGCAGCCAACUGGACCUUGAUUGACGCUGAGGCACGAAAGCGUGGGGAGCAAAC
rnacentral:rRNA from 1 species